rnacentral:lncRNA from 1 species
CCAGGUCUCUGCCAUUGUGAACAGUGCUGCUAUGAUCUUUCUAAAAAGUGUCAGAGUUUCUCGUGAGUGAGUGUGUACCUGGGGGUGGUAUAAGAGAUAAUGCCAAAGUGAUUGUAUUAACUUACACUUCCCUUCCUUUCUUAGCUUCCUGAGUAGCUGGGAUUACAGACAGCCACCACCAUGCCCGACAAUUUUUUUUUAUUUUUAGUAGAGAUGGGUUUUCACCAUGUCGGCCACUCAACUUGUUCUCAAUCAGCCUGGAGAUCCAUGUCAUCUCUAUGCUGGGAAGUCCUCUGCCUAGUCUAAGAUCUUCCCUGUGAUCUUCAUUGUUGUAGCAAAAAAAAAUGAAGAAACAUCCUCAAUGUCCAACAAUAGGCAAGUGGCUACAUUAAACUGAGGUUUAGCCAGAUCAUGAAAUACCAGGCCAGGCCGGGCACGGUGGCUCAUGCCUGUAAUCCCAGCACUUUGGGAGGCCGAGGCAGGCAGAUCACGAGGUCAGGAGGUGGCAGGAGUGAAAUCACACCAAUUGCUGUUUUCAGGUUCCACUAGUGUCUCCUUAUCUUAUGCCACAGUCGGCCUGCCUGACAUUUUCUACUAGGGCAUGUCCUGAAGCUAUUCAUUUGUUUAAAGUUAAAAGUGCUACUCCAGUGAACACAUGAGUGAUAAAAAAGUGAACCAGCCGGAUUUUUGAUAUGGUGAAACUUUUAGUCAUCUGGACGGAGGGUCAAACCAGCUACAACAUGCUUCUACGCCAAAGCCUAAUUCAGAGCAGGGCCCUACCUCUACUUAAGUCUAUGAAGGCUGAGAGAGGUGAGGAAGCUGCAGAGGAAAAGAGAAAAGUUGGAAGGCUGUUGGUUGGGUACAAGAAAUUUUAAUACUGAGAAAAAUUUAAAUUCUCAUUGAGCAUUCAACAUAUCAAUCUUUCAAAUUAAUCUGAAGUCUGACUCUCCUU